rnacentral:rRNA from 1 species
GUCUACAGCCAUACCACCCUGAACGCGCCCGAUCUCGUCUGAUCUCGGAAGCUAAGCAGGGUCGGGCCUGGUUAGUACUUGGAUGGGAGACACAGUAGCUCUAUCAU